rnacentral:rRNA from 1 species
UACAGAGGGUGCAAGCGUUAAUCGGAAUUACUGGGCGUGAAGCGCGCGUAGGUGGUUCGUUAAGUUGGAUGUGAAAUCCCCGGGCUCAACCUGGGAACUGCAUUCAAAACUGUCGAGCUAGAGUAUGGUAGAGGGUGGUGGAAUUUCCUGUGUAGCGGUGAAAUGCGUAGAUAUAGGAAGGAACACCAGUGGCGAAGGCGACCACCUGGACUGAUACUGACACUGAGGUGCGAAAGCGUGGGGAGCAAACAGG